UCACUUGACGCCUCUCUGUUCUGUUC
rnacentral:piRNA from 1 species